GGUGAAUACGAUCACCUGAUUGGUCAAUACCAAGUCAGUGGAAAACCGUAGUAUUUGUUGAUUUCAAUAUUGUUGCUAUCUAAUCCUCGAUCUAAUCUUGAAUAUGUCUUGAACAUCGAUCGUGGCUAUUUUUUCUUAUUCAGCAGCGAUACAAAAGAUGAUCUCACUGGCCAGUCGUCAGGAAAUAGCACAGGAUAAUUGCAAACAAUUAACGUGCAUGGAUGUAAAAUUGUAAAUACUGAUUCUGAUGAUGUACUAUAUAAAAGUAUUAAGCUCAACAUCGACGGUUUGAAAACGUGUGAAGGGCGUUCGUCACUGUGGUCCAGCCACUUUUCGUUUGUAGGGUUUCGCGUCACAAUAUUCCCAUUCGGAUGACCUAAAAGCACUUUUAAUGAUUUAAGCACAGUUAAUUUAAGUGACGAACGCCCACGAACGCCCUUCACACGUUUUCAAACCGUCGAUGUUGAGCUUAUUUUGGUACAUCGUCGGAAUCAGUAUUUACAUCCACGUUGUCUGCAGUACCUGUGCUAUUUCUUGAUGACUGGCCAGUGAGAUCAUC